rnacentral:rRNA from 1 species
AUUGAACGCUGGCGGCAUGCCUUACACAUGCAAGUCGAACGGUAACGGGCCUUCGGGUGCCGACGAGUGGCGAACGGGUGAGUAAUAUAUCGGAACGUGCCCAGUAGUGGGGGAUAGCCCGGCGAAAGCCGGAUUAAUACCGCAUGAGACCUGAGGGUGAAAGCGGGGGAUCGCAAGACCUCGCGCUAUUGGAGCGGCCGAUAUCAGAUUAGCUAGUUGGUGGGGUAAAGGCCUACCAAGGCAACGAUCUGUAGUUGGUCUGAGAGGACGACCAGCCACACUGGGACUGGGACACGGCCCAGACUCCUACGGGAGGCAGCAGUGGGGAAUCUUGGACAAUGGGCGCAAGCCUGAUCCAGCAAUGCCGCGUGCAGGAAGAAGGCCUUCGGGUUGUAAACUGCUUUUGUCAGGGAAGAAAUCUUCUGGGUUAAUACCUCGGGAGGAUGACGGUACCUGAAGAAUAAGCACCGGCUAACUACGUGCCAGCAGCCGCGGUAACAC